rnacentral:lncRNA from 1 species
AAUGCUAUUUUGGUCAUUUUAGUUUUUGAGUGCUAUUUUUGCGAUAUAAACUUAGAAAGAUGCUAUUUUGGAGAUUUGCCAAUAAAUUAAAUUAUAAACAUAUAUUAAAGGGCAAAUCUCCAAAAUAGCACAUUUCUAAGUUUAUAUCACAAAAAUGGCACUCAAAAACUAAAAUGACCAAAAUAGCACAUUUCUAAGUUUAUCCUUUGAAAAUUUUAAUUUUUUUAUUUUUCCAAAUUUGAAAUCUUAUCCCCAAAACCUCAUUUCUCAACUCUAAACCCUAAACCCUAAACUCUAAACCUUAAACCCUAAACUUUAAACCCUAAGCCCUAAACCAUAAACCCUAAACCCUAAACUCUAAACCCUAAAAUCUAAACCUUAAACCCUAAACUAUAAACCCUAAACCCUAAAUCCUAAACCCCACCCUUUAACUCUAAAUCCUAAGUUUGUGAUUUUUGAUAAAACAUUAAGUGCUAUUUUUGUGACUUUUGACCUUGAGUGCUAGUUUGGGAACAUAAACUUAAUUUAGUGCUAUUUUUGUCUUUUUCUCUUUAUUAAAGGGCAAAUCUCCAAAAUAGCACAUUUCUAAGUUUAUAUCACAAAAAUAGCACUCAAAACUAAAAUGACCAAAAUAGCACAUUUCUAAGUUUAUCAUUUGAAAAUUUUAAUUUUUAUAUUUUCCAAAAUUUGAAAUCUUAUCCCCAAAACAUCAUUUCUAAACUCUAAACCCUAAACCCUAAACUCUAAACCCUAAACUCUAAGCCCUAAACCUUAAACCAUAAACCCUAAACCCUAAACCCUAAACCCUAAACCCUAAAUCUAAACCCUAAAAUCUAAACCUUAAACCCUAAACUCUAAACCCUAAACCCUAAACCCUAAAUCUAAACCCUAAAAUCUAAACCUUAAACCCUAAACUCUAAACCCUAAACCCUAAACCCUAAAUCCUAAACCCCACCCUUUAAAUCUAAACCCUAAGUUUGUGACUUUUGAUAAAACAUUAAGUGCUAUUUUUGUGAUUUUUGACCUUAAGUGCUAGUUUGGGAACAAAAACUUGAUUUAGUGCUAUUUUUGUCUUUUUCUCUUUAUUAAAUUCUUAAUAAGCUAAUAUUAAUUAUUCCUGAGGGGGUAAUUAAUAAACAUUUAUUAUUCCUGAGGGAGUAAUUAAUAGAUAUAAGCUAAUAUUGGCCAAGUGACUCUCUCCAUUUUUAUUAUUUUUAUUUUUAUUUGUUUUCGAUGUGUUAUAACCUGAAAUAGCGGGAAGUCUAACCACAAAGUUCGCAUCUUAUUUUCUCGGAUCAUCACAUUUUUCUUUUCUUCGCAUCAAGGAGAAUUUUUUAGAACGAUGCACGCAGCAGCAUUGCACCUUGUUCUUAACAAAACUCUGUAAAAAAAAAAAGAGGUAUUCCUUUGUAGCAAUUCCUCCUUUUUUCAUUUUUGUCUUUGUCGUUGUUGUUGCUUAAAUAUACAGAAAUAAUUAUUUUCUAUCUAUAAUCCCACCAUUAUGCAUCCAUCACCUUCAUGCAUGAAGUUUAUAAUCGUUCUUUUAAUUAAUUGUUUUUAUGCAUGUGGAUUCGAUCGCCUCGAGACCAAUGCAUUUUUUUUUCUAACGAAUCUGUCUGAAUAUCCAUCUGAUCUGAUUUGAAUCUUCUUUUUCUUCUUGUUUGCUGCCUGAAUAUCCUCUGUUAUUGUGUCUUUUGUCUGAAUCUUUGCAGCUCUUCUAACGAUUUUGUCAUGUUAUGGUUGAGUAGAUAUGGUUGAGAGAUUGUUUGGUGUUUCAGAAAAAAAACAUGAAUCAAUAGAAGCUUUUUGCGAGUCUCGAUUACAAUGGUUGUUGUCACAGCGAUUCUAGUACCUACAUUGUACCAACUAUCAAACACCCUCUGCACGAUUCAAGAGACUUGUCCUUUUUGUUUUCAACUGCAUUGCGUAGAUUAGAAAUUAUAUGCACUGAUAUAUCGAGAAGCACCUCUUUCUUUCCUUUCUGGAAAUCUGCAUUUACAACUUCUUCCGUGUCCCUCUAUUCAUAGUCGUUAACAAUCUUUGCAGGUUGAGUUUGUUUCUUGAAAUCUAAGAAGCGGAAUGACGUUUUCUAUGAGAGAUUUAGAUCAGGCUCUCCAAGGAUGUGGCCAGAAAUCGUAAUGCUUUUCUCACUCUUAAUGUUUUUCUGUAUUUUACUCCUUCAUAUUAAACUAUCUGCAUAUUUUAUGUUUCCUGGUGGUUGCAUAUAUAUACAGCGGGAUUGAAAUAUGGCGCAUCGAGAGCUUCAAACCUGUCGCUGUUCCAAAAGAGUCCCAUGGUAAAUUUUUCACCGGGGAUUCCUAUAUUGUCUUAAAGGUCGGUAGUCUCUCGUUUUUAUAUCUCUGGUUCAUGAUAUAUAUAGUUCUUGAAACAUUCUUUCCAACUAUCUCAUGCCAGACCACAGCGUCAAGAAGCGGUUCCCUCCAUCACGAUAUUCACUACUGGCUUGGUAAAGAUUCCAGUCAGGUAAUACUCUCUUCAUAUUCUUCUUCUUUUUUGUAUUCAUCAAAGAAUAAGAAUAAUGGUGGUGUGUUGGUUAAAACAGGACGAAGCUGGUUCUGUAGCCGUUAUGACAGUUGAACUAGAUUCAGCGUUAGGUGGGCGUGCUGUUCAGUACCGAGAAGUACAGGGUCAAGAGACCGAGAAGUUCCUUUCCUACUUCAAACCUUGCAUUAUACCUCAGGAAGGUGGCGUUGCUUCCGGGUUCAACCACGUCAAGCCCGAGGAGCAUCAGACGCGUCUGUAUAUUUGCAAAGGCAAACAUGUCGUCCGUGUAAAGGAGGCAAGUCAUUUUACAAUGUCCUGUAGAUUUCUUUUCACUCAACCUGGAGAUUUAACUUGCUCUCAUUUACAGGUGCCGUUUGCUCGGUCUACUCUCAACCACGACGACGUUUUCAUUCUUGAUACAGAGUCCAAAAUUUUCCAGUUCAGUGGUUCCAAAUCGAGUAUUCAAGAAAGAGCCAAAGCUCUUGAGGUUGUUCAGUACAUUAAAGACACGUACCAUGAUGGAAAGUGCGAGAUUGCUGCUGUUGGUAAGUGAACUAAACUGUAAAAAGCUAUGGAGGCUAAAAGAUUUAGUCAAGUUUAAUGUGGUUUCCUUUCUUGUAGAGGAUGGGAGGAUGAUGGCUGAUGCUGAAGCUGGAGAGUUUUGGGGUUUGUUUGGUGGGUUUGCUCCGCUUCCUAAGAAACCAGCAUCCAGUGAUGACCAGACCGCUGAAUCUGACGGGAUCAAACUCUUGAGGUAGAAUACCUUUGAUCUUAACACAAGUUGCCUUGUAAUUGAUUACUGUAUGUUCCGACGUGAGUUAUUUUUGGUCUUUCAAGUGUUGAGAAGGGAACGACAGAACCCAUAGAGGUUGAGUCUUUGCAGAAAGACCUUCUGGACACUAACAAAUGUUACAUUCUCGACUGUGGGCUCGAAUUGUUCGUUUGGAAGGGUAGAAGUACUUCAAUCGACCAAAGAAAGAGCGCAAGUCAAGCUGCAGAAGUAAAUUUCUUCUCAUGCACCAAACGAACAGUCUUGUUUUGAUGAGCUUUGCUAUAUGUCAUAUUGUCAUUCUUGGCUUUUUCAGGAGUUUUUUCGAUCGUCCGAACGUCCAAAAUUGAACCUGGUCAGUGUGAUGGAAGGGUUUGAAACAGUGAUGUUCCGAUCUAAGUUUGAUUCAUGGCCAGCUACAAGUACCGUAGCUGAGCCCCAACAGGGCCGAGGCAAAGUUGCAGGUGUAGUAGACUAGUAGCUAUAUUGAUCAAAUUGCUAAAGUUGUAAUCUCUCUGAUUAUGAGAUACUAAUCUCUGUUUGUUCUUUCACUAUAGCUCUUUUGCAACGGCAAGGAGUUAACGUUCAAGGCCUGGUCAAGACUUCUUCUUCUUCUUCUAAAGACGAACCUAAACCAUA